GUAGCAGAUAAGGCGUCGGUCUCCUAAACCGAAGGUUCAAGGUUCGAGUCCUUGC
rnacentral:tRNA from 1 species